rnacentral:lncRNA from 1 species
GAGUCAGUCUCGUCUAUAAACGGGCGGUUGUGAGAGAAGAGUGAGGUCAGUUCUUUUCAUUUUAGACGGUGCUGUUGCAGUCAGUCAGAGAGCGUUUGUGUGCCACCGACCUGGAAACGAGUUGUAUAAAAAUGUACCCAGCCCAAAUACUGAAAUCUAAUGAAGUGAUAUUUUCCCGCUAAAAAGAACUGUUUCCCACCAGUUCAGGUUUAAACAUUCAUACCACAGUGGGAACACAUGAAUAGAAGAAGAAAAUUUCUUCUUGCCUCAGUUCUUGCUCUCCAGAAUUCUAGUUUUAUAUAUCCUUCAUGUCAAAAGUGCUUUUCUCGGAUAAUCCUGGUCUCCAAAAGGUCUAACUGUCCAAAAUGUGGCUCUACUGGUGAAGCUGAAAAUGCCAUUUACAGAUACAAGCUUUCCUUAAAAGUUGCAGAAUCAGACAAAUUAUUUGGCAUUACUGUGUUUGGAAGCUGCUUAGAUGCAUUUUUUGGUCUCACGGCCACUGGUUUGCACAGAAUUUUGAAAACCAGCAUGGAAGUGGUUCAGGUUCCAGUAACUUCUCAGAGCAGUGCUCAGACCGCAAGAGAGUUAAAGCACUCG